rnacentral:lncRNA from 1 species
AAAAUAAAAUAACAUUAUAAUAAAUUUAACCAUUGAAAGUAACAAGAAAAAUAAAAGCUAAGGAAGAACACAAAACAAUUAUUGCCGACUUGAUCUCCAAGUUUCAGCCUCAACUUCUAGUUUCUUGAAUCUCUCAAAAGUUAUCUCUAAUGUUAUUAAACAUAUCCUAUUUAUCCUAAUAGACUAAACCUAAAGUUCCUUAAGCUGACCUAGGGUUUAAUUGGGCUUAAAAGUGUAAUAAAAGGCUCAAAAAUCAAUUAUCAGUCUUUACAAAUUUUCAUUCCCGGCACAGUAC